rnacentral:lncRNA from 1 species
AACCUCCUUCAUGAGAUGAUAUGGAAACAGUUGUAUGUAAGAAAAUAUGAGAUACAAUGGAUCAAAAUGAGUUCUCCAGAGAGGCACCAAAAUUUACUAUGGGAGCAUGGAGGACAAUGAGAUGAUCUCUGCCUGGGGAUGGGGGCACAUUGAUGGAAGUGAGCAGGCGAUCUGAGUGCAGAGGCACAGAAGUCAUCAGGCGGAGGCUGGGAAGCAGGGCUCUCCCAGGUCAGUAACUGAAUUAGCCAAAUAUUCAGAAGAAGGCAGCAUGCCCCAAAUGUCUCCAGUCACAAUUAAGCUACUGGCUUUCCUUCUGCAUGGAACUGGGUUCGUUGCCAAACAUUCCUGUCAAGUGAGGU